rnacentral:rRNA from 1 species
CCUACGGGGGACAGCAGUGGGGAAUAUUGCACAAUGGGGGAAACCCUGAUGCAGCAACGCCGCGUGAGUGAGGAAGUAUUUCGGUAUGUAAAGCUCUAUCAGCAGGGAAUAGAAAAGAAGGUACCUGAAAAAGAAGCCCCGGCUAACUACGUGCCAGCAGCCGCGGUAAUACGUAGGGGGCAAGCGUUAUCCGGAUAUACUGGGUGUAAAGGGAGCGUAGACGGCAGCGCAAGUCUGGAGUGAAAUGCCGGGGCCCAACCCCGGAACUGCUUUGGAAACUGUGCAGCUGGAGUGCAGGAGAGGUAAGCGGAAUUCCUAGUGUAGCGGUGAAAUGCGUAGAUAUUAGGAGGAACACCAGUGGCGAAGGCAGCUUACUAAACUGCCACUGACAUGGCUACUCGAAAGUGUGGGUAUCAAACAGGAUUAGAUACCCGAGUAGUA